UAGCUGGCUCUCCCCUUGAACACUGAGCAGAAGGCUGGGGCUGAGGGAGGCAGAGAAGAGGGGAAGGCAGGCUGGAGACGAGGCAGGGAGAGGAAGAGCCGAGGCCGAAUACAACCUCCAAGGCAGAAGGGGGACAAGGAAGACGGCAGGCCAGAUGAAACUGGAAGAGGAAAGUUUUACUUGAAAAGUUAGGGAAGGAUCUACUCAUGAGGAAAGACGUGGAGCUGAUGGAGGCAGACAAAAAAAGCCACAGGGAUGAUGGGAAUGAUGGGGCUAUGGAAAGAUUGGGAUGAUGGGGAUAGUAGAAGGCAAGAUGGGGUAAAAGGACUUAGGAAGAGCUGCAGAUGUUUAAAUGGAGACGAAUAUUUUUUUUAGCAUAGAAGAUUGGAGUGUUUAUGCUGACGGAGAGAGUAAGAUAAUUCGAAAAAGACUUUGGGCUCAAGAGGAAAAAAGCAAGACGAUCAAAAUCAUAAACGGGAUCAAAAGCAAAAGUAUUCCAGUUUUAUCAGUGAGGUGUCAAUUUUCCUUUUACUCUUUGGAUGUAAAGCUGGUUUGGACAGAUACUGGCAACCAAUCAGGCAACAGGACCACUUCCUCUGUCAUAAUGAGAGCAGUGACAUCAUGUCAAGGGCGAGCGGAGAGAAGACAGCGGAGCUGCAGACAGGCAGCGGGGCUGCACGCGCGGCGCGGUGCGGCGCAGCGCUGCGCCCGGACCAGAGGCGCGACUGUCGGCUGGAGAGCGCGCAGACUACCGGGGCUAUGGAGCGCAGCUGUGCGCGGAUGGGAGCCGGUGCCGGGAGCGCUAACCCCAGACUGACCGACACCGCCUGUUCGGAUGAAGAGAAAGUCGGAUAUAGAGGAGUUAGGGACGCGCAUCCUGUUUAGAAUUUCUGCCGAGGAAGACGAGAAGAGGACAACUCCCAAAACUGGCAUGAUGUAACAGGGGAGCAAAAACGCAGCCAGGAGCCCCCAGUGAUGCAGCAACUGGAUGGAAAAUGGGAUCUGGUGAUGCUGAUGACAUAAUAUCAGCUCAGCAGACAAAAGAUGGAAGCAUGAAGGCAAACGAAAGACUUUCUGUCAGAGGUGACGAGGAUUUCCAAGAACUGGAUUCAUCUUAAUGACUGAGGAGAAGGGACGCAGGAUAACCAACAGAAAAAAAUAUCUAUUUUCAGAUGUUUCUUCAAAUUUAUUCUAUUUAAUUUUUUAUUCAAAGUAACUGUGCAUUUAUUCUGUGUGUUACAAUGCUGUGUUUUCUUGCCACAUUUGAAUAAACUGGAAGUACAAAUGUGGCUAAUAUUGCUGUUCCCAUUGAAUUAGUGUCUUCCUUUCUCACUGUGAGAGAGCAGGGGUUUCCAUAAAUGAGAGAUGUCUUUUGUUCCCCAAACUACGACAAACUUUUGCAUCCAUGGAAAACAAAGAUGACUGUCUCUCGACUGUCUUUACUUGCAAAUAGAAUCUUCAGUUUUUAACUUAUUUUCUGAUUGUGUGUUUAAUUAUCCUAGACUCAGAGCAUAUAGCGACUUCUUUAAAAUUCAGAGAACGUUUCAAAAAAAUAAAAAAUUAAUACAUAGUAAUAAUAAUUAGUCAUUUGUCACAUUUCUUGUAUUUUUUUAGUUUUUUGCUGUUGUUGUUUAAAAAAAAAAUCCUAACCUGCUUCCAAUUUCAAAGUUUAACUAAGUAUGUUAUUAUUUCUGCAAACAUUAAACACAAACAUGUGAGAAAUUGUUGCUGACUCAGCAAAUUAAUAUUUUGUUGGGUUUGUCAACAAUAACACAUGUGAUUAAUAAAUUUAAAAAAUGCAUUAACAUUUAUUAAUGCAAAUGAAUUACACCUCGGGAAGCGACCGUCUUCCGCUUUGGCUCAGACGGUUCAGGCUUCAGAGAAAAAGUUCAUCUUUUACCCUUUUUUGUCCAAAAGGUGAAGGAAAGGUUUGUUUUAAAGAAGUGAGAUAGAAUGUUUUGACAGUGUGACUGGAACUUCUUUUUCUUUUUUAUUUAUAUUUUUUAGGUGUUCAUCAUAGACAUAUAUGGUGCAUCCACAUCCAGCAGCCAAUCAGAAUUGAGUAUUCCUACAGAUCAUGGUAAAAAUUCAUUUAAUGUGCAGAAACACAAUUUUUGUUUUUUAUGGCUGUAUGUCAUCAUCUUUGUUUUAUUGCUGCAGACAUUAAAGUCUUUAGAGUUCUUCUUAUUUAACUGUUGAUGAGUUUUGUGCACACGAAUUACACUUCUGGGCAAACACUUGAUAAAUAAAAAAAAAAUAAAAAAAUCGGACAAUAAAAAUGAAGGAAAACCAAAAUCUCUCUGGCCUGUUUAUGUUGUCAAAUUGUCAACAUUUACCAUGCAAAAUAUUAUGAUUAUUGACCAUCCAAAAGUGUGAUUAAUCUGAUCAAUUUUUCUUAUCGAUUGACCGCUCUAGUUUUUGAUGAUUCCAGUGAAUUGUUUGUCCACGUCUGUACAACUGAACGUGUUGUAUUUUUAUGUGAAGUCUCAAUUGUGCCUUUAUUUUCCAGUUUAUUUUUCUUUUUGGCUCCUAUACUGUAAAAUCCACAAAACACUCUUGCUCAAUAAAGAUUGUGAAGCAAAUUGAAAAGAAAAA